rnacentral:tRNA from 1 species
GUCGCGGUGGCUGAGUGGUAAAGCGCUUGGUUACCAAACUAGGAGUCCCGGGUUCAAAUCUUGGUGAAGACU